UGAUGACGGCUUUCUCCGGAAUCUCUGCACAUCCUUGAUGACUUUUGAACCCUUUUCUGGCUGAUGACUGCAGUUUAUUCAGC
rnacentral:snoRNA from 8 species